rnacentral:lncRNA from 1 species
ACUACUAUAUAUAGUACUGUUAUCAGAGGACACAUGACACUCGGUAUCUUUGAUAGCAUGCCUCAAUAAGCACUAUUCUGGCAAAACACCAAGGCUUAUCAUGUGAACUAUCAAUUCUGUGGCCUUAUGCACUAUCCAAACAAAACCAGAUAUUUAGUCUUUCCUUCUUUUUAUUCACUAUAUAAGCAACUACGUUACAUAUUACAAAGUAGUAUCAAGCUUAAUUCAACAACCACACACCUUGCUUUUAUUUUUAUAGAGGAUGAACAAACUUAGCUAGUAAUAGACGUACUCUACUUCCUGGCCUCCAGGAAUGCUGCUUUGCCUUCUUCACCGGUGGAAACCGAUGUCGAAGAGCCACUUGGGUGAACUUUCUUUUUGGAUCCCUUCUCUUUCUUUUCCCCCACCUCAUCUCCCUUCCUCUCCAUCCUUUCCUUGAUUUGUGCUCUCUGUAUAUUGAUGCGGGCAUAUUCGACUCCAACAGAAAUCAUGUCGUGAUAGAAUGUUGGAGGCUUGAAGCUUAAUUGGUGUAAAAAUUCAAUGUAGGACUCAGAG